rnacentral:lncRNA from 1 species
UGGUGAUGCCCUUCCAGCAACACAGUGAAAGAGCCUGUACACGGGAAAAGAAUUCUGAUGUCACAGGUCCCAUCAAUCACUACCCUUUUGCUCUUCAGUAUUUAUAAAUCGCUUCUUCCCAGCAGCUAGGCGGUCAAUGUUUUUGAAUAACCCUAGUCCCUGUCUUCCAUGGCCACACACACACUCACACACACCCCAGGUAUAAACAUACCCCUUUCUUCUCAUUUCUAACUUCUCAGGAUGUCCAUAUGCAUUUGCAGAACCUUUAGGAGCUCUUGUAAUAAAACUGGAAAAUACAUGCUUACUCUUCUGGAUCCGACAAAGGAGAAGAAACUCAAGAUACUUCCCUUCACUCGGAAUAUUCCUUCCUCAUCCAGGAGGGUGUUGUACCACCUCUGCCUGAUUGCAUUUUUCACGGAGACAAGAGCCAAGGUGCCAAGCAGCACUGGCCCGAAACACUCGGGACCGCUGUGCGGAGCGCUUGUCCUUGCCUUCCCGGGGUGCCCUGGGGUGGAAUCCCAGCACCUCCCCUCCAGCCCAGGGACCCCCGAGCCAAGCCUGCCUCACCUGGUACCUUGGCAGCUGCUCCUUCACGUGGUGUGAAGGUCCCCCCGAAGAACUACAGGAGGAGAUGCUGCUGUUUCCUUGCCAGCUCCUGGCCGACGUCCUGCCGGUGACAUCCCCCGCUUUCUGGCACACUCCCUGGAGCAAUAGUCUCAGCCCACGGUCAGCUCCUGUCCGGUUACUCACCAACAGCUCCACCUGGUUAUUAGUGGUCAUCAGUGGGCACACUAAUACGUGCCUAUUGGGGUGAGGGGUGUGCUCACUUUGUUCUGAGCCUUGAGUGGCACUCUACUACAGCUUAAGGCAGAGACUGCAGAUUAGUGACUAUCCAAGGGGUGGUUAGGACAAAUGAAAAAAGUGAAGGCAAACAGCACGUCAUACCUGAGCUGCCACCUCUUCAAUCUUCUGAACAGCUUUGGAAUCAAACAAGACUUGUCUGCCCCUCCUCUCACAGUCCUGGUAAACUAUCAGGCGGAUCUCACUCAGGUCAAGCUCUGAACAUGACCAGCUGCAGUUGGAAGCUGAGCCAUACUGUUUGGGGCCAACAUCUGUGGAAUCA